UUUGGAAACCCGGCGUGAUGAAUCAAGUAUGUUUAGUACAUCCACUAAGACUUUAAGUUAGUUUCACGAGACCUAUUAAGAAUAGAAUUUCUUGUAGGCUUUAUGAACCAAGGGGAUUAGCGCUGCUUUCCCAAGACGAGUUUAUGUGAUUAUGAUCUUCAGGCUUUGCCUAUCCAGGUGGGCAUUACUUUUACUAUACGUAUAUAGAGAUCCCAUGCGUGUCGUAGGCCUCUUAUACGAAUAUAUGCAUGAGAUGAUUUUAACUGUUAAUUUCAGUUUAUUAUUAUGCCCAAAUGAUAAAUGACUCUUAUGAAAUGAAAAUGACAUGUUUAUGAAAUGAAAUGAAAUGUUUAUGAAAUGAUUGACUGCCAAAAAUGUUUAUGUUUUACGUAUGUAUCCUAUCUGUGUUGGUUCGCCAACUUUAAAGGAAAUCCAAUUGGGAUCCUAUGCUAGACAAAGGUCGCUAGCUAGGGUUAACGUGUAUACUUAUGGAGACCGCGAGUCGCUUGCGACCGGUCUUGGCGUCCGUGGUAAGGAGGCCUCCUUCCCGGCGCGUGACAGAAAGGAACAGAUAUGGAUCAUAUGAAGGAAAAUGAUCGGCCGAUCGACUUUAUGAAAAUGAAAGAAAUGUUUUAGUAAGCGCAGGUCUUUCAAGAAAACCCCUGUGUGUUACUGUUAUGGCAGUUCAAUUUAUAUAUGUAUGCAUGUUGUAUUUUCGGCUAUGCCCACUGAGUAUUUUUAUACUCAGCCCUGCAUGUAUUUCUAAAUGUGCAGGUUGAGCAGUUGAUGGAAUGGAAUGAUGUUGAGCGGGUGUUCCUUUGAUCAUUUCAAGAAAUGUAACCUUGAGUAUACAUCUUCAUAUGUAUAUCUCACAUGUUUUCCGCUGCAAAAUACGUUGAUUAGGAUAGCCCUAUGUUAUGAAGUUGGGAUACGUGUUAUUGGGUAAUCCACCUUAAUCAGUUCUCAUUUAUGUGUAUGUUUUAUAAGUAUCCAAAUAAUCAUAUAUGAUCCUAGCAUUUUAUCUAUGAGUGACAUUUCCAUAUACUUUAAUGUUAAGUAAUUGUCCAUUUCCAUUUCUUAUUGUUCACCCCAAGUCAUAACCCCGGUUAACCCGUCAUUGGGAUAGUGGGCUGUGACAGAGUGGUAUCAGAGCGGUUCGUUCGCUCUGGCCCUAGAAACCUUAUUCUAAAGAGUCGAGUCUAGUUUGAUUCUUUAUACUUACAUGGGUUCAUAUGGCACCGCUCAACACUCCAUUGCAUCGUGCUCAAUCAAGGAAAGAAGGUUGAGCAGUUGAUGGAAUGGAAUGAUGUUGAGCGGGUGUUCCUUUGAUCAUUUCAAGAAAUGUAACCUUGAGUAUACAUCUUCAUAUGUAUAUCUCACAUGUUUUCCGCUGCAAAAUACGUUGAUUAGGAUAGCCCUAUGUUAUGAAGUUGGGAUACGUGUUAUUGGGUAAUCCACCUUAAUCAGUUCUCAUUUAUGUGUAUGUUUUAUAAGUAUCCAAAUAAUCAUAUAUGAUCCUAGCAUUUUAUCUAUGAGUGACAUUUCCAUAUACUUUAAUGUUAAGUAAUUGUCCAUUUCCAUUUCUUAUUGUUCA